rnacentral:lncRNA from 1 species
UCUGUAGUUUUCUUUAGAAAUAAUUUUUGCAGAAGGGUUGCGAAGACAGUACACAAAGUUUUCAUACACCCUUUACCCACAUGCCUCUAAUGUGAUCUUAAUAACCAUGGUAACCUUCAUCAAAACUAAGAAAUUAACCAUUGAUAGUGGUUCUCUUCACUAGUCUAUAGGCUUCAUUCAGGUAUCCCAUUUUCCACUCUGUUUUCUGCCCCAGGAGCCAACCCAGGAUACCACAUUGCAUGUCCCCUUAGUCUCCUCAUAUCUCUGACAGAUCUUCAGUCUUUCCUUGUCUUUCAUGACCUGGACACUUUUGAAGAGUACUGGCCAAGUAUUCUGUGAAUGUCCCAUAAUUUGGGUUUGUCUGGUGUUUUCUCAUUAGACUGAGGUUGUGGGUUUUAAGGAAGAACAUGCCAGUGGUCAGGUGCCUUCCCAUCGCAUCGUGCUAGAUGGCGCAUGGCACCAGCAGGAUGGACCACCCCCAUCAUCGGGUGAAGGCUGUGCUUGCCACAUUCUUCUCUGUGAAGCUGCUACCUGUCCCCUUCCUCAGUCUGUUAAAAGUGAGUGACUAGGCUGGGCGCAGUGGCUCACGCCUGUAAUCCUAGCACUUUGGAAGGCCGAGGCGGGCGGAUCAUGAGUUCAGGAGAUCAAGACCAUCCUGGCUAACACGGUGAAACCCCGUCUCUACUAAAACUACAAAAAAUUAGCCGGAUGUGGUGGUGGGCACCUGUAGUCCCAGCUACUCAGGAGGCUGAGGCAGGAGAAUGGUGUGAACCCGGGAGGCGGAGCUUGCAGUGAGCCAAGAUGGCACCACCACACUCCAGCCGGGGUGACAGAGCGAGACUCCCAUCUCAGAAAAAAAAAAAAAAAAAAAAGUGAGUCACUAAGCCCAGUCUAUACUAAAGGGUAAGGAAUGUAAACUGUGGUGGGGAGGAGUAUCAAAGAAUUCAGGGGCACCUGUUAAAAUUACCACAGUAAUUAAUAUUUGGGGGAAUACUUGGAUGCUAUGCAAAUUACAAGCCCUGUCAGUGGAUGGAGCUAGGGGAUCUGUGUAUGUCUACCAACCCAUGUAGGUACAUAUCUAUAGAUGUUUCUGCCUUUAUCAGUCUAGGCAGGUGAACAUACACGUGACUUUGUACUGAUACCUCUGACACCAAUCCAGCACCACAGGAUUCAUUCUAACAUUCACCUCUUGCUUUUAACUGCUUUUUCUGACAUAGACCUGGUUCUCAUUAUCUAUAUUUACUUAUUUGUUCAAUCCUAAUAUAAACAUAGUUUCAGAAUUGCAAAUUUACAGUUCUUUUUGCCCAUAGCCUUACAGUAUCUGGUCAAAACACCAUUUUCCAGUUACUUAGGUCAGUCCCUUUCUUACCCACCUCUUUGAAAAGGGUUGUGUCAUGUAUUUUAUAAUACAACUAGACUCAUCACAACCUGCAUUCCAUAUUGUAAUCCCCUAAAUAUCCUAGUUGAUUUUAUUUUAAUGUGCAUUCAGGGUCACUCUUUGUAGUGCACAGUCUGGGUUUUGACAAGUGUGAACUCAUGGAUCUGUCAUCACAGUGCCAUACAGAACAGUUUUGUCACCCAAAGUUUACUUGUGUAACCCCUUCAUGGUCAAUGCCUUUCCUCAUCCCAACCAUUGGUAACCACUGAUCUAUUAUCUGUUCUUUAGUUUCACCUAUUCCAGAAUCUUAUGAAUGGCAGCAUAUAAUAUGUAGCCUUUUGGAUCUGGCUUCUUCGCAUAGGAAAGUGCAUUUAAAGCUCAUCUAUGUUGUGUGAAUCAGAAGUUCAUUUUUCCUUAUUGCUGAGUGGUAUCCCAUGCACAGAUGUAUCACAGUUUAUCCGUUCCUCUGUUUUAGGCAUCUGGUUGUUUCAAGGUUUUGGUGAUUAUGAAUAAAGCAGCUUUGAAUAAAUAUUCAUAUACAGGUUUUGUUUUCAGUUUAUUCGGUGAAAUACCUAGGAGUGUGAUUACUGGGUCAUAAGGUAUGUGUAUGUUUAACUCUGUAAAAAACUAUUUUCCAAAGGGGCUUUAUUUUUUGCAUUUCCAGCAGCAGAGAAUGACUGUUGCUCUGCAUCCUCAGCAGCAUUUGGUGUUGUCAACUUUUUAAUUUAAGCCACUCUAAUAGGUGUGUAGUUAUAUCAUUGUGGUAUUAAUUUGCAUUACUCUAAUGUUUAAUAACAUGGAGCAUCUUUUCAUAUAUUUUUCAGAGUAUACCUUCUGAGAUGUACAAAAUCUUAUCUUUUAAACUGGAUUUUCUUAUUUUGAGAAUUACAAGAUUUAUUCUGGAUACAAGUUCCUCAUAAAACACAUGAUUUGCAAAUAUUGUCUCUCAGUCUGUAAUUUAUCUUCAUUAAGAGUAUCUUUUGCAGAGCAAAAGUUUUUAAUUUUGAUAAAGUCCAAUUUAGCUUUUACUUGUAUGGGUUGUGCUUUUGAUGCUUUAUCUGAAAAUUCAUUUCCAAACACAAGAUCAUGCAGUACUUCUUCAUAUUUUCUUCUACAAGUUUUAUAGUUUUACAUUUUACAUUUAGAUCUAUGAUCCAUUUUGAGUUAAUUUUUGUACAAAGCGUGAGGAUGUUAAAGUUUAUUUUUUGGUGUGUUUGGAUACCCAAUUUUUCUAGCCCUAUUUGUUGAAAAGAUGAUCCUUUCUGUGUUGAAAUGCCUUUGUACUUCUGUCCAAACACAGUUGACUAUUUGUAUGGGUCUCUACUGUUCCAUUAAACUGUAUCUUUCGUUUUGCCCAUACUAUACUGUUGAUUACUAUACCUUUCAAAUAAGUCUCGAAAUCAAGUAAUGUGAAUCCUCCAACUUUGUUCUUCUUUUCAGAAUUGACUAUUUUAGUUCCUUCACUUUUCCAUAUAAAUUUUAGAAUCAGCUUGUCAAUAUCUACAAAAAAGCUUAUUCAGAUUUUGAUUGGGGUUGUAUUGAACCUAUAGAUCAGAUUGGAGAGAAUUUAACCAUAUGUUAACAAUAAUGAGUCUUCUAAUCCAUGAACGCAGUACAUUCGUCCCUCAGUAUCCAUGAUGGAUUGGCUCCAAGACUCUGCAGAUACUAAAAUCUGCAGAUGCUCAAGUUUCUUAUAUAAAAUGGUGUAGUAUUUGCAUAUAAUCUAUACAUAUCCUCCCUUAUACAGGCAUACCUCAUUUUAUUGUGCUUCACAGAUAAUGCAUUUUCUACAAAUUGAAGGCUUGUGGCAACCCUGUGUCAAGCAAAUCUAUCUGUGCCAUUUUCUCAGCAGCGUGUGUCUCUCUGUUAGGUUUUGCUAAUUCUCACAAUAUCUCAAAUGUUUUCAUUGCUUUAUCUGUUAUGGUGAUCUGUGAUCAGUGAUCUUUGAUGUUACUUUUAUAAUUGCUUUGGGGUGCCACAAACUGCACCCAUAUAAGAUGGUGAACUUAAUUGAUAAAUGUAUGUUCUGGCCGGGUGUGGUGGCUCACGCCCGUAAUCCCAGCACUUUGGGAGGCCGAGGUGGGCGGAUCCCUUGAGGCCAGGAGUUUGUGACCAGCCUGGCCAACAUGGUGAAACUGCUCUCUACUAAAAAUACAAAAAUUAACUGGGCGUGGUGGCACGUGCCUGUAGUCCCAGCUACUCAGGAGGCUGAGGCAGGAGAAUCACUUGAACCCAGAGGCAGAGGUUGCAGUGAGCUGAGAUUGUGCCACUGCACUGCAGCCUGGUGACAGAGCAAGACUCCGUCUCAAAAAAAAAAAAAAAAAAAAAAA